ensembl:lincRNA
UAAUUUUUGAACAUAUAUAGUCCUGUCUAUGUCCUCAGAGUGUGCAAACCUAUUUUCUUUCCAUAAGACAUUUUAGGUUUCAGUGAAACCUACUAUUUAAUCAUGUGUGUUUUUCCCCAUGUAAGUAUGUGUAUGUGGCGUUCUCCUGGGUUGGGGAGUCCCUGUAGUUUGCUAUCAGGAAGAAGGGUGAAGGAGCAGACCAGCACCUUGGGACUGAGGUAGCAUUCAGAACCACCUCUUAGUUCUCAUGCUCCUAAAGCUUCAAUAACGCCUGGCUUCCUAAGCUGAAAGUCAGUCACGCUCGCUCCCUCAAGCCCCCUUAUUGACAGCGCACACGCUGCCGGCUGCCCACUUCCAACUCACACCCCCAGCUCUGUGAAAUCCCUGAGUCUAUAGGAGACAGGGCCCUUGGUCCUUGCACCAGUGGUCCCUCUCAGGUUUGUCCUGACUGUGGAACUCGCCUGUUUGUGCCUCCUUUUCCUAACAGGUGGCAGGACCUGGGCCGUGAUUCCCACAUGCAUGGGACUCCUUGACACAGGAAUUUCUUUUAUUCUUGUCUUUUUGGAACACAAAAAUAGCAUCAUCAUUUUGAAUACUGAUCUCAAGGGUCCCAGAAAGGAUCAGAAUGCCUGGAAACUGCACUGACUCUCAACUCCCGGUGUGGCCAAGAGACCUAGGAGGCGCUGUCGGCAAAGUGACCUAGGAGGCGCUGUCGGCAAAGUGACCUAGGAGGCGCUGUCGGCAAAGUGUUUCGUGCAGAGAGUGCAAGUGGAGCGGCUCCCCACGGUGGCGCAGGCACAUCUGCUGGGCCAGUGGUUUACCUGAGGCCCUGACAGCUUGCUGAGACCCUCAUGCUCCCAUAUUACAUCUUCCCACACACAUGCAUCAGCUAUUUGAAAAAGCAAUCCCCUCAAACAACUGACAGACUCAUCAGAUCUGGAGCUCAGCACGUACACUCUUCUCUUCUAGAAGCUCCAAAGUACUAAUACAUUGAAGUCUGGCAGCAUUCAAACGAAGAAGGCCAAUGUAAAUGGGUUAUGUCGGAAACUUCCUCUCCUGCAGUUCCUUCCCCCUGAGUCAAGACACUGGUAAUUUCAAAAGGGAAGAAUUCCAGUGAAAGCUUGUGAAUAAUCUUUUAAGGUUCUUCCUCCUCGAAGGAGCCCAGAUUACUUUCCACCACUUUCCAGUUGAAGUAGGCCCUAACCAGUUAAGCUGCUCAUAAUCAAUAUAUUUUAUUUUACCUAUGUGGGAAUUUAUAGCCUGCGAACUUCUAAAAUAAUUUAAGCGCCUUUAAUGUUUCAAAGUAAAAUGAAGAAAUAAUGGCUAAAAAUAGAACCUUAUAAAGUGAGUCAGGGAGUAGAUAUUACAAGGCACCUGAGACGACCUAAUUCUUGUAGUUAGUCAGUAGACUAACCCCUGACUUUAUUUGUGGUUAGACCAAAAGGGAGCACGUGUUGCUUAUAUAGCUUUCAAUGUCAAGUCAAAGUAGAAACAAAGAGCAGCAUGCAAAAUUAUUUGUAGAACUAAACCAUGGCUUAAAAGACACCAUUCACAUACAGUCGUUCUGGUGACAACCUCAAGAGAAGGCAGUGCACACAAUGUUUACUGGCUGGACCCUCCCCAGGCCAGAACUAUGCUGACCUUCACUUUGUACACCUUGGGUGCACUGCUUCCUUUACCCGGAAGGGACCCUGCAGCAGUCUGUUCAUUUUUAUCCAGUUGACCCUACUGACCAUUCCACCAGGGAGGCUUUCAUCUCCCACCCAGACCAGGACAGGGCCCCCAGUCAUGGGCUUUUAGGACAACUUGUGCCUUUCUUGUAGAUCCCCAUUUACUUUCCCAUUGGUGUCAUUACUCAGGGUGUGUCUCUCUCACUAGACAGAAGUUCCUUCAGGACAAGAACUGGAUGUGCUUUGUUUAUUCCUGUUAUCACUAACAUCUUGCACCAUGUCUGACUCAUGUAACAAUAAUAAUAAUGGAUAAAAAGAGGUGGCAUUUUUAUACAAUGGAGUACUGCUAAGUUAUAAAGAAAGAUAAACUCAAGGAUUUUAUAGGAAAUGGAUGCAACUAGAGACCAUACUCAUAAGUGAAAUAAAUCAGACUCUCAUAUGUAAACAUUGUAUUGUCUCCCUAGUGUAAGAAACUGAAAGGGUAAAUAAAAUCCAAAAGGUACAAUAGAUAUUGUGAAAGGGAAAGAAAUUGCUCAAAGAGGAAGAACAAGUAGGAUAGGGGAAAAUAUAUAAAAAGGAAG